rnacentral:rRNA from 1 species
CCUACGGGUGGCAGCAGUGAGGAAUAUUGGUCAAUGGACGAGAGUCUGAACCAGCCAAGUAGCGUGAAGGAUGACUGCCCUAUGGGUUGUAAACUUCUUUUAUAUGGGAAUAAAAUGUUCCACGUGUGGGAUUUUGUAUGUACCAUAUGAAUAAGGAUCGGCUAACUCCGUGCCAGCAGCCGCGGUAAUACGGAGGAUCCGAGCGUUAUCCGGAUUUAUUGGGUUUAAAGGGAGCGUAGGUGGAUUGUUAAGUCAGUUGUGAAAGUUUGCGGCUCAACCGUAAAAUUGCAGUUGAAACUGGCAGUCUUGAGUACAGUAGAGGUGGGCGGAAUACGUGGUGUAGCGGUGAAAUGCUUAGAUAUCACGAAGAACUCCGAUUGCGAAGGCAGUUCACUGGACUGCAACUGACACUGAGGCUCGAGAGUGUGGGUAUCAAACAGGAUUAGAUACCCGGGUAGUC